UCAUAGUUCAGUCAGUAGAGCAUGAGACUCUUAGUCUCCAAGUUGUGGGUUCAAGUCCCAUGUUGGGCAGAA